GUGUGCCUGAUUCCAUGACCUUGCGAUUCCAUGGUCCUGCAUCCCUGGAAUUGCCCUUUCUUAUAAACCAAGGUAGAGGGGAACCUUUAUUCAGUUUUAUAAUUAUUAUUCCACAUGCCUAAUUACAUUAUUCAUGUUAGUGUGUAUUAAAAAUAUUUGUUUGUUAAUCAGGAAGUCUGAAACCACUGCAGUUAUCGCAAUUGCCAUCGGGAUGUGGCUACUCUUUCAGAAGAAACUGGAUGAAUAUGGCGUUCACUGCCCCAUAUGAUGGCUGUUUUGUAGCCAGAAAUGUCUGUAUACAACUUAAACCAUUGGAACGGUCUCUCUGUAAAUUGACAUCUUUCCUAAUGCCCAUUGUGUUUUCAGGGGGAUACUUUCAUUCUGUCUUUAAACCUCUGGGGUUUACCUUUAAGAAUGUCAUGCCCAAAUUUGCCACAAAAACCUCCUUCCUUGACCUGUGACCCACACGGCAUGACUGUGAAACUUGAAAUGGUUGCCUCGACUAAGAACCUUACAGUAAAAGGUGUGCUGAAUCCUUAUUCCAUUAUGUAUGCAUGAUAUUUAUGAAUUAAUCAUUCGCAUUUGAAAAGAAAAUGAAUAGGCUCUCCAGGGCAUGGCCCUUAUCUUAAGUGUGUCAGAUACUGAUUUUAAGAUUUUUAAUCCUUCUGAUAAAUGCAACAUCUCCUUCCUAAUUCUAUGUUCCUGAUUAGUCAAUGGUGAGUGGGAACCAUUAAUGAAGGUGGCUUCUCGCUGCGGGUUCAGUGUUUUGGAACACCUUGAAGCUGUCGAAAUAUCUGCCCCUUAUAGACCUUGUAUUCGGCCUGAGGUAUGUUUUGAUUUUGAUCCCUUGUUAUCUUUGGGUGUAUAUGGACUCAUCAUUGCUCUAAUCUAUGGUAUUAUACCUGAUUUGAUUUUCCAGGAUGGGCUGUUCAACUUUGCAAUUGCUGCUGAUCAUGAAGUUAAACUCUCUUGUCCAUCUCGGUCUCCUGGGGACUAUGUUGACUCUCUACAUGUAGCACCAAAGCCUAAUAUCACUGCAACUUAUCCCCCUCCUGCAAAACACAUGGAAGACCCCAAACCCGCUAUUCAUGAUCCUAAGCCUAUACAACAUUCCAUACUUGAUCAAAUGGGCCUCCCUCUUUUUCCACUGCCACAAGUUCCUCAGAAUGUUUACUACCCAUAUUUCUAUCCACAAAAUGCUAAACCUCCCCAAUUACAAUCUCCAGAGACCGGCUCUUUUAGUCCAUCUAGACUUGAUGCUCAUCCUCCAGCUCCUCCAGUGAGUACACUUCCCCUGGUGCCCAAGCUGGAUUCAAGAGUUCCACCUCCCAGUUCAGAUCCUGUUCAUCCUGUUCAACAGCCCCAUUACACUCUUCAGAGUUUGUGGCCUUGGUACGCACAAGCUCUGAAACCUUCAAAGCCGGCUAUUAGUGAAAAACCUGUUUAUGCUGCUCCUCAACAUGUUGUUCCUGUGACCCCACCCCCAGCAAAACCUCUGAGCCCACACCUCCCCCUCCCAUUGAGUCCCGAAGCCAUUGGACCCAUUACUCCUAAACCGGCACAAACACCACCAGUCCCAUUUCCUGAACUCAACCUUUUGCCAAAUCAGCCUGCGUCAAUUGUUUGUCCCCCUACCCCCUGCCCCCCGGUCUGUCCUCCAUCCUAUUCCAGCUGCUGUCACAUUCAUUGCCAUCAGCACUACCACCACCACAAUCACUUUGGCCUUGCAGUUGGUGGUGCUGCUCAGUUUAUACAGUCCUCAAACACCAGGAACCAAACCAGCUUUCAGCAGCCUCUGAAUGUACCCCCAUUUGUGGCCCAAAUACAAUCCCCUGCAUCAACAUUGCUUCCAGUUUCCAAACCUCCUUCUCAACCUCCAGCACCGCAAUCAAUACAGAGCCGAAUCCAGCAACAGGCACCUUUCCAUACUUAUGGGAUAAAGGGACAAAUCUUUCCCUAUGACUCAAGUAAUUUUCUUUAUCCUGCUCAACCACCACCAGACACAUCACAUUUUCAACAUUCUUUAGUACCUCCAGUCAGACAGGAUCCUGUUCCUUGGCCAUCUUGGCAUCCACAUGGAUAUUCUUUACAUCCAAAGGGUAGUUCAGCAGACUCUCCAGAAAAGCUGAACUUCAAAAUCCCUCAACCCAGCCUUCUGCAGGAGACUAAUCACCCCUAUGAGAAACAACCUGACUCUGCCCCUGAUCUACUGUCCUCUGUUUCUCAUGGGGCACCUCAAACAUUUGCAAAAUACUGGAGGAAUGUUUUAUCCUUACCAUAUCAGCAUGCUGGUCAUCCUAAUGCUCCAAAACAACUGCAACCAGCAAAUUCCCCUCAAGGUAACGUCUCGUUUUCUCUAAUGUAGCUACUGACAUCUGCUGUUUUUGUGUGUAAUAGCAAUUUCUUCUCUUUGGUCCUUGUAGGUUAUGUGGAAAACCCCUUCCACUUCUACAAUGCUGACGAACAAAAAUAACGGUGUUCAAAUAAAGUUUUGGGGUAAACAAAAAGUCA
rnacentral:lncRNA from 1 species